rnacentral:ncRNA from 2 species
CGAUGUUCUCGGGGCGGGGUGGAAAUCCCCACCGGCGGUAAUGUUGCGAUGUUUCUGCGACGAGCCCGCGAGCGCUUGGCGGACGCCAGUCCGUCAAGGUCAGCAGACCUGGUGAGAUCCCGGGGCCGACGGUCAUAGUCCGGAUGAAAGAGAACGGAA